rnacentral:rRNA from 1 species
UACGUAGGGGGCGAGCGUUGUCCGGAUUCAUUGGGCGUAAAGAGCUCGUAGGCGGCUUGGCAAGUCGGAUGUGAAAACUCCAGGCUCAACCUGGAGCCGCCAUUCGAUACUGCUAUGGCUAGAGUCCGGUAGGGGAGUGUGGAAUUCCCGGUGUAGCGGUGAAAUGCGCAGAUAUCGGGAGGAACACCGAUGGCGAAGGCAGCACUCUGGCCUGUAACUGACGCUGAGGCGCGAAAGCGUGGGGAGCAAACAGGG